rnacentral:rRNA from 1 species
UGGGGCGCAAGCCUGAUGCAGCCAUGCCGCGUGUGUGAAGAAGGCCUUCGGGUUGUAAAGCACUUUCAGUCGUGAGGAAGGUAGUGUAGUUAAUAGCUGCAUUAUUUGACGUUAGCGACAGAAGAAGCACCGGCUAACUCCGUGCCAGCAGCCGCGGUAAUACGGAGGGUGCGAGCGUUAAUCGGAAUUACUGGGCGUAAAGCGCAUGCAGGUGGUUUGUUAAGUCAGAUGUGAAAGCCCGGGGCUCAACCUCGGAAUUGCAUUUGAAACUGGCAGACUAGAGUACUGUAGAGGGGGUAGAAUUUCAGGUGUAGCGGUGAAAAUGCGUAGAGAUCUGAAGGAAUACCGGUGGCGAAGGCGGCCCCCUGGACAGAUACUGACACUCAGAUGCGAAAGCGUGGGGAGCAAACAGGAUUAGAUACCCUGGUAG